CCUACGGGACGCACCAGUGGGGAAUAUUGCACAAUGGGCGCAAGCCUGAUGCAGCCAUGCCGCGUGUAUGAAGAAGGCCUUCGGGUUGUAAAGUACUUUCAGCGGGGAGGAAGGCGAUAAGGUUAAUAACCUUGUCGAUUGACGUUACCCGCAGAAGAAGCACCGGCUAACUCCGUGCCAGCAGCCGCGGUAAUACGGAGGGUGCAAGCGUUAAUCGGAAUUACUGGGCGUAAAGCGCACGCAGGCGGUCUGUCAAGUCGGAUGUGUAAUCCCCGGGCUCAACCUGGGAACUGCAUUCGAAACUGGCAGGCUGGAGUCUUGUUGAGGGGGGUAGAAUUCCAGGUGUAGCGGUGAAAUGCGUAGAGAUCUGGAGGAAUACCGGUGGCGAAGGCGGCCCCCUGGACAAAGACUGACGCUCAGGUGCGAAAGCGUGGGGAGCAUACAGGAUAGAUACCCCGGUAGUC
rnacentral:rRNA from 1 species